CUGGUUCUCGUUAGAUCACCGAAGUUAAGCAUCAUUGGGCGUGGUCAGUACUUGGGUGGGUGACCACCUGGGAACACCGCGUGCCGUU